UGGAUCCAGACUUUGAUUAUGGCUCAGGAUGAACGCUAGCGGCAGGCUUAACACAUGCAAGUCGAGGGGCAGCGGAGAGGAAGCUUGCUUUCUCUGCCGGCGACCGGCGCACGGGUGAGUAACACGUAUGCAACCUGCCCUUCUCAGGGGGACAACCCGCCGAAAGGCGGGCUAAUCCCGCGUAUAUGCUCCGGAGGCAUCUCUGGAGCAGGAAAACUUCGGUGGAGAAGGAUGGGCAUGCGGCGCAUUAGUUAGUUGGCGGGGUAACGGCCCACCAAGACGACGAUGCGUAGGGGUUCUGAGAGGAAGGUCCCCCACACUGGUACUGAGACACGGACCAGACUCCUACGGGAGGCAGCAGUGAGGAAUAUUGGUCAAUGGUCGGGAGACUGAACCAGCCAAGCCGCGUGAAGGAAGACGGCGCUCAGCGUUGUAAACUUCUUUUGUCAGGGAACAAAAGGCGCCACGUGUGACGCUCUGAGUGUACCUGAAGAAAAAGCAUCGGCUAACUCCGUGCCAGCAGCCGCGGUAAUAUGGAGGAUGCGAGCGUUAUCCGGAUUUAUUGGGUUUAAAGGGUGCGUAGGCGGCAUGUUAAGUCAGCGGUAAAAGCCCGGGGCUCAACCCCGGCGAGCCGUUGAAACUGGCAGGCUAGAGACGGCGAGAGGUAUGCGGAAUGCGCAGUGUAGCGGUGAAAUGCAUAGAUAUUGCGCAGAACUCCGAUUGCGAAGGCAGCAUACUGGCGCCGGACUGACGCUGAGGCACGAAAGCGUGGGGAUCAAACAGGCUUAGAUACCCUGGUAGUCCACGCAGUAAACGAUGAAUGCCGGCUGUGUGGCCCGAAAGAGGGCUGCGUGGCGUAGCGAAAGCGUUAAGCAUUCCACCUGGGGAGUACGCCGGCAACGGUGCAACUCAAAUGAAUUGACGGA
rnacentral:rRNA from 1 species